UAAAGUGGGUACAAGCUAAUGGUUAUCCAAAAAGUUAAGAAGCUUUUAUUUUGGCAAGACUAUUAGCAGUAAGUUUGUUUGGCGCAGUGACUCAGUGGUUAAGCCUUUGUAUCAGAACCGAAGGAUACCUGGUUCGAUGCUGAAAACUAAUUGGAGCAUGCAUAUUUGCUUAUUUGGUCACUUAGAAAUAGUCUGCAGAUGGAGUCCUAUAUAUACGGGUCAAGAAUCGGGACAGAAAACGGGACUUGGUCGGAAGAGUCGGAACAUGAUAACAAGAACUUCACUACCGCAAGCACGUCACUUCCGGACGUACAAGGGUGUUGGGGUAAUGGGCCAAGUCUGGCCUAAAUCCCAGGUCCUCACAGACCUCACCCAUACAGAAUAGAAUAC